GAGCAGGAAGUGUUAAGUACAUCAAGGCUUUGGUGAGACGCAGGCACUCCAGAGCGUCAGGGGCUUGUCCCCUUGGUGAGAUCACCAGGCAGUGGCAUCUCAGACAUCCGCUUGGAGCUAAAUACAGGCUACUGCACUUUGCACCUCCUAUCAUGAUGAAAGGAAGAGAAAACUUGGGUUUUGGAGGCGGCACACUCCAUACCUGGGGACCCUGAAGAGACACAUACGCCAGAUACAAAGACAAACGGAGCCUUCUGCUUGGACUUCCGGUGCGGACCUGACAGCCCCCACGUGUGAGGCGCCCGUCGGCCAGGACCCGCAGAGUCACCUGCAGCAGGGACUCUCCCCGCCGAGCCCCACCAGACAGAAGAGGGCUCUAGAGCUCCUCGCCAGCUCAUCACGGCACAGCCGCUGUUUGUUGCCAGGUCUCUUUCGGCAGUGGAUGGCCUCUCCUUCUCUGCGGGCUGCCUGAGUCUCUGCAUUCCAGGACACCGGUAUCAAGGCGGAUCCGUGUGUCCUGUCCUUGCCCUGCUGGAUUCCACUUUGAGUGAGGGUCUGAAGCCAUUUCCCCCUCGAGUUUCAUGAAAUGGUCUGCAUGUACCAACUAGGGUCUGCAGCCCUGCUUACUGCAACCAUUUAGAGGGCAAAUUAUCUGAAAAGUGGCGGAUGCGCCAUCAGCUUGAAGACCAAAAGGGAAAUGUCCAGUAGGCAAACUGAUCCCACGUGCAGAUCCGUUUCUAAAACGUCACCCACCAUUCCCGUGUCAGUCCUGGAGGGCCCGGAGCUUUCAGCUGAUUAGUCUUGGAGCAAGCUCACAGGCAACCAUCAUUUUGCUUCAUUUAACAGCUUUACAGCUACACUGCCAUUUCCGUGCCCUCAUCAGCUGACUGGCCUUAAGGCUGACUGAUAAACACGCGAAUGAUGGCAGAAGUCACCCGAGGGAUGAGCACAGCACCCUAUUGUAACUUCAGCAUCUCCCUGGCUGGACUGGCAAAGACCCCAGAGUAGCACAGGCCUCCGGAUGCUGCAGUGCUGGGGGCACCUGGAGAGGGGCAGUUUUUAAUUGAACAUUUUUCGGGCAUCUGUUCAUUUUGCUCUCUCAGCACUCCUUCUUUCCUGUUAACAGCACCCUCUUCCUUUGGGGACUGGCUUCCCAAGUGGCACUGGAGGUAAAGAACCCACCUGCCAAUCCAGGAGACAUAAGAGACAUAGGUUUGAUUCCUGGGUUGGGAAGAUGCCCUGGAGGAGGGCAUGGCAACCCAGUCCAGGAUUCUUGCCUGG
ensembl:lncRNA